rnacentral:piRNA from 1 species
UAAUAACAUGCAUACAUUCUUCACGCUC